GAUGAAGAACGCAGCGAAAUGCGAUAAGUAAUGUGAAUUGCAGAAUUCAGUGAAUCAUCGAAUCUUUGAACGCAUCUUGCGCUCCUUGGUAUUCUGAGGAGCAUGCCUGUUUGAGUGUCAUUAAAUUCUCAACUACACUGACUUUGAAUUGGUGUGGCUUGGAUUUGGGGGGAAAAUUGUUGUGGGCUUUUUGUAUAGUCUGCUCCCCUGAAAUUGAUUAGCGGUACCUUUGUGGAACUGUCUACAGGUGUGAUAAUUAUCUACAUCUGCUGGAAUGCUGCUUUCUAAACCUUACUUGUAUUGACAAUCUUGACCUCAAAUCAGGUAGGACUACCCGCUGAACUUAAGCAUAUCAAUAAGCGGAGGA
rnacentral:misc_RNA from 1 species